UGUGAAGUAAAAAAUAACUAAAAAUCGUUCAUGACCCCGAAAGUGCUCGCGUACCACCUGGAAGGCCCUCGCGUACCACUAGUGGUACGCGUACCACAGGUUGGGAACCACUGCCUUAACAUGUAGAGACCACACACAAAUAUCAACUGAUUAUCUUCAUUACCAUGAAAAAUAUGAAGCCACAUUGCUGGCUUAAACAAAUGUUAAAAAUCUCUGGCAAUUCAUGUUCAUUAUGAGAUGGUAACUUUUCAAAUAAGUCUAGGUUUUAUUUGAGUUUAGUUACCCCAGUUCAUAUGAAGGUUUUCUGUAGGUGGCCAAGGUAACCAACAAUAUUGUGUAAACACCCAGGAAGUCAAUCCUAUCCACUACUAUGUCAUGGGUCUUUGUCCUGACAACAUUCAAUGUUAUCUUUAUGAAACUUUUUCCAUUUUUUUAGCUUUCUCCGCCAGCAAUACUUAGAGGAAAAACGACUCAACCAGAAAUCAGAAAGAUACUUGUCAGAAAACAGAUAAGUAACCAUUUUUUACAUUAUGCAUAUCUAUCAAGGUCUUAUAAAUCACUUGAACUAUCUUUACGAAGAGCCAUAUCACAACAACCGCGUUCCUGACAUUCAAACCGAUAUCUUUGUGGUGGUGGUGCGAGUUGAGUCAUCCACCACAGAGGAGCAGCACCACCAGGCCAGCAGGUGUUAGGUGAUAUCCACCCCUGCACCCAUGGGAACUCUUACCUUGGUGUUUUGAGACAGUAUUUUUGGAGUGCUUUGGAUGACUGCUGCAUCUUAUAUAAUCAUACAAAGCAUUUACUAAGCAGUGAAGGGCGCAUGGAGAACUGAGACACCAAUCCUCGGAAUAUGGCGUCACCAGCAGAAGACCACCACCUCACCCACCUAAGAUUCACGUGCCCAGCCACCGCCCACCACACGAGUUUUCACCGAGCCACAGUGGUGCUAUACAAACUUCGGGAGAAUCAAAAGGGUGGACUUGGAGUGGUGCACGUGACGCUUCGAUCUAACAACCCCACUGAUAUGCAGUGUACUACAGUAAGUGAACUCCUCAUCGGGACGCAGCGCCAGGUCUGUCUCCUGUAUGACGCACUGCCUAACAUUGCCCGCGCUAUGGAAAUUUAUUGAGUUGUGAUGUCGCAACGAGGUCAUAUGGUGCCGGAUGAAGGAAAGUGUCGUGAAUCAGGAUGGAAUUCGCAGCAUUUCCAUCGUGCACAACGGCCAUUAUCGAUGCCAUACUAGCAACAAUAAUAAAUAAUGAAUGAAUA